GAAAGUAAAGAAGGGCGCAUGGCGGAUGCCUUGGCUCUCGGAGGCGAUGAAGGACGUGAUAAGCUGCGAUAAGCUUUGGGGAGGUGCAAAUGACCUUUGAUCCAGAGAUUUCCGAAUGGGACAACCCAAUAUCUUGAAGAGGUAUUAUCCAACGUUGUUGGAGGCUAACGCAGGGAACUGAAACAUCUUAGUACCUGCAGGAAAAGAAAAUAAACAAUGAUUCCCCCAGUAGUGGCGAGCGAACGGGGAACAGCCCAAACCAUCCAUGUUACGGCAUGGGUGGGGUUGUAGGACUACGCCGUUGCAUGAAGACAUCAGAGAAGAACUUUCUGGAAAGAAAGACCAUAGAGCAUGACAGUUGCGUAUUCGAAUGUUGUCGAAGCAUAGUAGUAUCCUGAGUAGCGCGGAGCACGAGGAAUUCUGCGUGAAUCUGCCGGGACCAUCCGGUAAGGCUAAAUACUCCCGAGAGACCGAUAGCGAACCAGUACCGUGAGGGAAAGGUGAAAAGCACUUCGAACAGAAGAGUGAAAUAGUUCCUGAAACCGUGCGCCUACAAGCGGUCGGAGCUCGUUAAUGAGUGACGGCGUGCCUUUUGCAUAAUGAACCUACGAGUUGCCUUUGCCGGCAAGGUUAAGUGUGACGACACACGUAUCCGAAGCGAAAGCGAGUCUGAACAGGGCGUAUAGUCGGCAGUGGCAGACGCGAAACCAAGUGAUCUACCCUUGGCCAGGUUGAAGGCUGGGUAACACCAGCUGGAGGACCGCACCAAUAAGCGUUGAAAAGCUUCUGGAUGAGCUGAGGGUAGGGGUGAAAGGCUAAUCAAACUUGGAGAUAGCUCGUACUCCCCGAAAUGCAUUUAGGUGCAGCCUUGCGGGUUACUGAUGUGAGGUAGAGCGACUGAUAAGAUGCGAGGGCUUCACCGCCUAUCAAGUCUUGACAAACUCCGAAUGCGCAUCAGUUCUACCGCAGGAGUGAGGGCAUGGGUGCUAAGGUCCGUGCCCGAGAGGAGAAGAAUCCGGACCACCUGCUAAGGUCCCGAAAUGACAGCUAAGUUAAACUAACGAAGUCUGACUGCUAAGACAGCUAGGAUGUUGGCUUGGAAGCAGCCAUUCAUUUAAAGAGUGCGUAACAGCUCACUAGUCGAGGAGUCGGGCGUGGAUAAUAAUCGGGUAUCAAGUUGUCUACCGAAGCAGUGGGAUCAUUUAUAUGAUCGGUAGGGGAGCAUUCCAGUCGGCGUCGAAGGCGUACCGUGAGGUAUUCUGGAGCGUCUGGAAAAGCAAAUGUAGGUAUAAGUAACGAUAAAGGGGGCGGGAAACCCCCUCGCCGAAAGACUAAGGUUUCCUGAUCAACGCUAAUCGGAUCAGGGUCAGUCGGGUCCUAAGGCUCAGCCGAACGGCGAUGCCGAUGGCAGAAACGGUUAAUAUUCCGUUACUACCUUCAGGAGUGACGUGGAGACGCAGUAGUGACAGUGCCGCCAUCUGACGGAAUAGAUGGUUGAAGGGUGUAGGAGUCGAUCAUGGCAGGCAAAUCCACCAUGAGAUCCGAACCUGACAGUAUGCCGCGUCCUUCGGGACAAGGCAAUAGUGCGCGUAAGCAUGCUGCCGAGAAAAUCCGCUAAACUUAAUCCUGCAGGUACCCGUACCGCAAACGGACACACGUAGUCGGGUUGAAUAUACUAAGGCGCUUGAGUGAUUCACGGUUAAGGAACUAGGCAAACUGACCCUGUAACUUCGGGAUAAAGGGUCCCUACCCUUUUAUGGGAGGGCGCAGAGAAUCGGUCCAGGCAACUGUUUAACAAAAACACAGGGCUGUGCCAAAUCGAAAGAUCCAGUAUACAGCCUGACACCUGCCCGGUGCUGGAAGGUUAAGAGGAGAUGUCAUCGAUAAGAGAAGCGUUGAAUUGAAGCCCCAGUAAACGGCGGCCGUAACUAUAACGGUCCUAAGGUAGCGAAAUUCCUUGUCGGGUAAGUUCCGACCUGCACGAAUGGUGUAAUGAUCUGGACGCUGUCUCAACCGUGAGCUCAGUGAAAUUGUAGUAUCGGUGAAGAUGCCGAUUACCCGCGAUGGGACGAAAAGACCCCGUGAACCUUUACUAUAGCUUAUCAUUGAAUCUGGGCACGUGAUGUGUAGGAUAGGUCGGAGGCUUUGAAGCAGGUACGCCAGUAUUUGUGGAGCCGCUGUUGAAAUACGACCCUUUAUUUGUUUGGAUUCUAACCCGUGGAUACGGGGACAUUGAUUGGUGGGUAGUUUGACUGGGGUGGUCGCCUCCAAAAGCGUAACGGAGGCUUCUAAAGGUGCCCUCACGACGAUUGGUAACCGUCGGCAGAGUGUAAUGGCAUAAGGGCGCUUGACUGGGAGACUAACAAGUCGAUCAGGUAGGAAACUAGAGCAUAGUGAUCCGGUGUUUCCGUAUGGAAGGGACAUCGCUCAAAGGAUAAAAGGUACUCCGGGGAUAACAGGCUGAUCCCUCCCAAGAGCUCAUAUCGACGGAGUGGUUUGGCACCUCGAUGUCGGCUCGUCACAUCCUGGGGCUGGAGAAGGUCCCAAGGGUUGGGCUGUUCGCCCAUUAAAGUGGCACGCGAGCUGGGUUCAGAACGUCGUGAGACAGUUCGGUCUCUAUCUAUCGUGGGCGUAUGAAAUUUGCGUGGCUCUGACACUAGUACGAGAGGACCGUGUUGGACAGACCUC
rnacentral:rRNA from 1 species